rnacentral:rRNA from 1 species
GACAGAGGUGCCGAGCGUUAGGCGGAAUCACUGGGCUUAAAGCGUGUGUAGGCGGACUUCUAAGUACCUUGUGAAAUCCCAUGGCUCAACCAUGGAACUGCUUGGUAUACUGGUUGUCUUGAGCCACUUAGGGGCAGUCGGAACAGAUGGUGGAGCGGUGAAAUGCGUAGAUAUCCUAAGGAACACCGGUGGCGAAGGCGGCUCACUGGGUCUCUUCUGACGCUGAGGCACGAAAGCUAGGGUAGCGAACGGG